rnacentral:rRNA from 1 species
GAUCCUGGCUCAGGAUGAACGCUGGCGGCACGCCUAACACAUGCAAGUCGAACGGAGUUAAGAGAGCUUGCUUUUUAAACUUAGUGGCGGACGGGUGAGUAACACGUGAGCAACCUGCCUUUCAGAGAGGGAUAGCUUCUGGAAACGGAUGGUAAUACCUCAUAACAUACAGAAUCGGCAUCGUUUCUGUAUCAAAGAUUUAUCGCUGAAAGAUGGGCUCGCGUCUGAUUAGCUUGUUGGUGAGGUAACGGCCCACCAAGGCAACGAUCAGUAGCCGGACUGAGAGGUUGAACGGCCACAUUGGGACUGAGACACGGCCCAGACUCCUACGGGAGGCAGCAGUGGGGAAUAUUGCACAAUGGGCGCAAGCCUGAAUGCAGCGAUGCCGCGUGAGGGAAGAAGGUUUUCGGAUUGUAAACCUCUGUCAUCGGGGACGAAAAUGACGGUACCCGAGAAGGAAGCUCCGGCUAACUACGUGCCAGCAGCUGC